GAAAUGCGAUAAGUAAUGUGAAUUGCAGAAUUCAGUGAAUCAUCGAAUCUUUGAACGCACAUUGCGCCCGCCAGUAUUCUGGCGGGCAUGCCUGUUCGAGCGUCAUUACAACCCUCAGGCCCCCGGGCCUGGCGUUGGGGAUCGGCGGAAGCCCCCUGCGGGCACAACGCCGUCCCCCAAAUACAGUGGCGGUCCCGCCGCAGCUUCCAUUGCGUAGUAGCUAACACCUCGCAACUGGAGAGCGGCGCGGCCACGCCGUAAAACACCCAACCUCUGAAUGUUGACCUCGAAUCAGGUAGGAAUACCCGCUGAACUUAAGC
rnacentral:misc_RNA from 1 species